ACACUUGCUUCAGCACUAUAUAUACUACAGUUGGAACAAUACAGAGAUUAGCAUGACCAUUGUGCAAAGUUAACAUGCAAAAUUGUGACGCAUUCCAUAUUCUU
rnacentral:snRNA from 1 species